rnacentral:rRNA from 1 species
AAUAUUGGAAAAUGGGCGAAAGCCUGAUCCAGCCGCGCCGCGUGUGUGAAGAAGCUCCUCGGAUUGUAAUGCACUUUAAGUGGGGGGGAAGGGCAGGAAGUUAAUACCUUGCUUUUUUGACGACACCGACAACAUAAGCAGCGGCAAACUUCGUGACAACAUCCGCGGUAAUAAGAAGGGUGCAAGCGUUACUCGGAAUUACUGGGAGUAAAGCGCGCGUAGGUGGUUUGUUAAGUUGGAGGUGAAAGCACCGGGCUCAACCUGGGGACUGCUUUCAAAACUGGGAAGCUAGAGGAUGGCGGAGGGUGGGGGAAUUUCCUGUGUAGCGGUGAAAUGCGUAGAUAUAGGAAGGAACACCAGUGGCGAAGGCGACCACCUGGGCUAAUACUGACACUGAGGUGCGAAAGCGUGGGGAGCAAAC